UUAACGACCUCGGAUCGGGCGGGACUACCCGCUCGGUUUAAGCAUAUUACUAAGCGGAGGAAAAGAAACUAACAAGGAUUCCCCCAGUAGCUGCGAGCGAACAGGGAAGAGCCCAGCACCGAAUCCCGCGGGCGCCGCCCGCAGGGAAAUGUGGUGUUAGGGAGGACCCGCACAACCGGGACCUUGGCGGAGCGUCCAAGUCCAUCUUGAACGGGGCCACUGCCCGCAGAGGGUGCCAGGCCCGUGGCGGCCUCCGCCGGUUCCGGGUGGGUCUCUCCUCAGAGUCGGGUUGCUUGAGAGUGCAGCCCUAAGUGGGUGGUAAACUCCAUCUAAGGCUAAAUACUACCACGAGACCGAUAGCGAACAAGUACCGUGAGGGAAAGUUGAAAAGAACUUUGAAGAGAGAGUUCAACAGUACGUGAAACCGUUCAGGGGUAAACGGAAGAGACCCGAAAGCACGCACGGGGAGAUUCACGCCCUCCCGCGAGACCGGGUCCCGAUGCGGAGAGACGGUCCCGGCGGCCCGGGCCGGCGCAAGCCGGCCCGGAUCCCGUCGGCGGCCGCUCGAUUCGCACGGGCAGCCCGGCCGCGGAGGGCCGCACUUCUCCCCGACGGCACGUCGCGACCCGUUGGGCGACGGUCUAAGGCCCUGGUGGAAGACCGGGCGGCCUCGAGCCGCCCGGGCCCCGGGUGUCCCGGCCUAAACGCUCGACGGUAGCGAAUGCAGGCGCAACGCCUCCUUCAGNNNNNNNNNNNNNNNNNNNNNNNNNNNNNNGGCGGCGGACCUAGCGUCCGCCGUCGCGGCCGUCCCGCUGUCGCGCUGCCGAAUGCCUCGGACGGACGGCGGCGCCGGUCGGCGACGCUUCAGCUUCGGGCACUCGUCCGACCCGUCUUGAAACACGGACCAAGGAGUCUAACAUGUGCGCAAGUCAUUGGGCUUUACUAAACCCAAAGGCGCAGUGAAAUCGAAGGCGGGCCCGCGAGGGCCCGCCCGAGAAAGAGGGAGGAUGGGCGUACCGUCCACGCGGCGGCGCCCCGCACUCCCGGGGCGUCCCGUUCUCCUAAGCCGAGACGGGGCGCACCAAGAGCGUACACGUUGGGACCCGAAAGAUGGUGAACUAUGCCCGGCCAGGACGAAGCCAGGGGAAACCCUGGUGGAGGUCCGUAGCGAUUCUGACGUGCAAAUCGAUCGUCAAAGCUGGGUAUAGGGGCGAAAGACUAAUCGAACCAUCUAGUAGCUGGUUCCCUCCGAAGUUUCCCUCAGGAUAGCUGGCGUUCGGAGGCGAAAGAUUCUCAUGCGGUAAAGCGAAUGAUUAGAGGCAUUGGGGCCGAAACGGCCUCAACCUAUUCUCAAACUUUAAAUGGGUGAGAACUCCGGCAUGCUUGGACUCACGUUCAUGAAGCCGGAGCUUCGGAUCCUUGAAUGCCAAGUGGGCCAAUUUUGGUAAGCAGAACUGGCGCUGUGGGAUGAACCAAACGCCGAGUUAAGGCGCCCGAACGACGCUCAUGGGAAACCAUGAAAGGCGUUGGUUGCUUAAGACAGCAGGACGGUGGCCAUGGAAGUCGGAAUCCGCUAAGGAGUGUGUAACAACUCACCUGCCGAAGCAACUAGCCCUGAAAAUGGAUGGCGCUGUAGCGUCGUGCCUAUACUCGGCCGUCGGCGGCACAGAGGCCGGGCCCCUCGCGGGGUCCGGGCCCUUAAGCCCCGACGAGUAGGAGGGCGCGGCGGUGUGCGCAGAAGGGUCCGGGCGUGAGCCCGCCUGGAGCCGCCGCCGGUGCAGAUCUUGGUGGUAGUAGCAAUUACUCCAGCGAGGCCCUGGAGGACUGACGUGGAGAAGGGUUUCUUGUGAACAGCUGUUGCACAAGAGUCAGUCGAUCCUAAGCCCUAGGAGACAUCCGAUGUCGAUGGGCGCCGUCAGGCACGAAGGCAACUUUUUGCUGGCCGGCGCCCCCUGGGCGAAAGGGAAUCCGGUUCCUAUUCCGGAACCCGGCAGCGGAACCGUUCCGAUGCGGGCCCUCGCACGAGAGCUCGUCGGGGUAACCCAAAAGAACCCGGAGAAGCCGACGGGAGGUCCGGAGAGAGUUUUCUUUUCUCUAUAAGCGGUCGGGGACCCUGGAAUCCUCUAAGAGGGAGAUAGGGUUUGGACCGCGAAGAGCACCGCAGUUGCAGCGGUGUCCGGAUCUUCCCCUCGGACCUUGAAAAUCCGGGGGAGGGCCACGCGGACAGUCCGCGCCGGAUCGUACCCAUAUCCGCAGCAGGUCUCCAAGGUGAAGAGCCUCUAGUCGAUAGAAUAAUGUAGGUAAGGGAAGUCGGCAACUCGGAUCCGUACCUUCGGAAGAAGGGUUGGCUCUGAGGACCGGGGCGUGUCGGGCUUGGCGGGGAAGCGGGUCCGCGCCGCAGCGCCGGGCCUGGGCGAGGAGACCGGG
rnacentral:rRNA from 1 species